rnacentral:rRNA from 1 species
GGAAUCUUCCACAAUGGACGAAAGUCUGAUGGAGCAACGCCGCGUGAGUGAAGAAGGUUUUCGGAUCGUAAAGCUCUGUUGUUGGUGAAGAAGGAUAGAGGCAGUAACUGGUCUUUAUUUGACGGUAAUCAACCAGAAAGUCACGGCUAACUACGUGCCAG